CGGAAGGAUCAUUACAGAGAUAGGGUCCUCCCGGGCCCGAACCUCCAACCCUUUGCCUACCUUACCUUUGUUGCUUUGGCGGGCCCGCUGGGGAGACCCACCGCCGGCGUGAGCCGGUGAGCGCCCGCCGGAGGCCCUCAAAACUCCGUCUGUCAUUGUCGUCUGAGCACCAUACAAUCGUUUUAAAACUUUCAACAACGGAUCUCUUGGUUCUGGCAUCGAUGAAGAACGCAGCGAAAUGCGAUAAGUAAUGUGAAUUGCAGAAUUCAGUGAAUCAUCGAAUCUUUGAACGCACAUUGCGCCCCUUGGUAUUCCGGGGGGCAUGCCUGUUCGAGCGUCAUUACACCUCUCAAGCUCCGCUUGGUAUUGGGCCCCGUCCCCCCUGAGGGACGGGCCCGAAAGUGAGUGGCGGUGCAGCCUGACUUCAAGCGUAGUAACUUCAAAACCCGCUUCAGAAGCCCUCAGGCCGGGCCGGCCAGACAACCCAACUGUGUUUCUUAUGGUUGACCUCGGAUCAGGUAGGGAUACCCGCUGAACUUAAGCAUAUCAA
rnacentral:rRNA from 1 species